GGCAAAGUGGAGGAGGAAGUUGCUAACAUGCACCGCGGGCAGUAGAUAAUGCGCGCCGUAGUGGAGGUAAGGUAAGUUAAAAAAUGACGGCUGAAGAAAUGAUGAAGCCUUUGUAUUUUAUUAUUGUCCAAUUAAUGAAAAAUCAUUGGUUUUUCCAAUUGGGAUUUUUACCUUUGUAAAAAAAAAAAAAAAAACACCAAAGGAG